rnacentral:misc_RNA from 1 species
GAUGAAGAACGCAGUGAAAUGCGAUAAGUAAUGUGAAUUGCAGAAUUCAGUGAAUCAUCGAAUCUUUGAACGCACAUUGCGCCCGCCAGCAUUCUGGCGGGCAUGCCUGUUCGAGCGUCAUUUCAACCCUCGAGCCCCCCCCGGGGGCCUCGGUGUUGGGGGACGGCACACCAGCCGCCCCCGAAAUGCAGUGGCGACCCCGCCGCAGCCUCCCCUGCGUAGUAGCACACACCUCGCACCGGAGCGCGGAGGCGGUCACGCCGUAAAACGCCCAACUUUCUUAGAGUUGACCUCGGAUCAGGUACGAAUACCCGCUGAACUUAAGCAUAUCAAUAAGCGGAGGA